rnacentral:lncRNA from 1 species
CUGAAAUCUCCAGCCUAGGGCACCAUCCCUCAAGUUAAAGGAGAAGCCAGCUCCCAUGUUAAGAAGUUCAAAUACCUAGAGACUGCGAUGGUUUGCAGAGGCUCAAGCUAACCACAUGGAAAGACAUGGAGAGAUAUUCCUUGCCAACCCUCAACUACUCCAACUAUUCUAAGACAUCAAACCUAAAAACAAACCGCAGGUCACCCACCGGUCUGAAGAGGAGGAUGAGAGACAAAGAAAAAAGUUGUCUGGCUGCCUCUGCUGUCUACAGAUUGAAGAAGAUCCAUCCAGCUGAGCCCAGCCUAGACCAGCUGACUUCUCCAAUAAGCCUGUAUGAAAU